rnacentral:lncRNA from 1 species
UCCUCAACAACGUUAUCCCAAGAAGAUAACACUUUUAUCCCCAACAGUUUUGAGAGAAAAUAAAUUCUGAAAAAAAAAAAUUGAAUUUGAAGGAGGGGAAGAAAGGAGACUCCCACAGUGGUAUUAUCCCCAGCAAGCAAGAACAAAGCAGAGCGAAGGAAGGAGAAAAGAAAAGAAGAAAUUACGAAGGUAAGUUUCUCAAAUCAUUGAUCUUUACAUUUUCCUCUUAGGAUAAAAAGUCCUAAUAUGAUGAAUUUCCCUCCCGAUACAAUCUUGGUCCGAUGAAAUUUUUCUCCCAAGAUAAGAUAUCAAAUCUUAGUCCGAUGAAAUUUUCUCCUAAGAUACCAAAUCUUAGUCCGAUGAAUCUUUCUCCUAAGAUCACAACAAAAUGGACCUAGUCUGACGAUUUAUCUCCUAGAGUCACAAUCUUGGUCUGAUGAAAUUUUUCUCCCAAGAUAAUAUAAUAAAAUCUUAGUCGGAUGAAUCUUUCUCCUAAGAUUACAACAAAAUGGACCUAGUCUGACGAUUUAUCUCCUAGAGUCAAAAUCUUGGUCUGAUGAAAUUUUUCUCACAAGAUAAUAUAAUAAAAUCUUAGUC